UCCAUUGUUAAGAUUGGGAUAUAGUGAGAGACAGAUUGUUGUUCUCCAGUUGUUUUAUGUGACAGGAUUUUUUUCUGAGGAAAGAUUUGAAAUAAGAAGAAACAGAGAUUUUUUCAGGGAGAUUUUAAAAAUCUUCAAAGUGCUGAUAAUCGUGGAUUCGUGGUUAGAGGAGAUAGAAUUUUCAAGGAUCAUGUUGAACGAUUCUUCAGGUAUGAAAAUAUACCGUUACCUGGUGGCCAAUACACCAUCCCAGCACAUCGAUGGGAAAGACCAGUUAAUUUGAUGGAUCAAGUGCGUCAGCUAGAUGAUUUCUCAACUUUUGGUUACACUAAUCGUCAAACCGAAAUUUUUUGUGCGUUUUACGAUCAUGAUCUUUUCGACGAAGGAGACGAGAUAGAUGACAAUGUCUUGGAUCUCGUAAAUCGACUUGUACAUUAUGUCGAGAAUCCCAAUUCACAAGAUUUUCCCAUAUUCGAGAAUCUACUUGAACAUUGUCUUAAGUUUAAGCUCGAAACUGACCCUAACCUUCAAAAUUAAACAAACGAAUGAAAGGAAAAUCUUCUGAAAAAGAUUCGCACCAUCGAGAAAAUUAUUAACAGUUGGACUUUCUCGAAGAAAAUAAUCAAAGAAAAUCUUUUCAGCCUCUUGUUCGUCCAUGCAAGUCCAUAUCUAUGAUAACGAAAGCGACUCAAUAUCCUGGCACAAGUUUUAUAAUGGAUUUUAUCAUCGAAAUAUUUAUGAGUAAAAUUGACAAAAAUAUUCGGUAAAUAAAUCGGUUCAAUUGAUAAAUUUCUCGCCUCUUUAA